CUUCAUACUGACGAGUUCCAAAUGGGACGAAACGCGCGUCCUGGAU
rnacentral:hammerhead_ribozyme from 1 species